UAUGUGAUCGUCUCUCGCAUAUCAAUAAGCGGAGGAAAAGAAACUAACAAGGAUUCCCCUAGUAACGGCGAGUGAAGCGGGAAGAGCUCAAAUUUGAAAUCUUAAAGGGUUUCCCUUUACGAAUUGUAGUUUAAAGAAGUGUUUUCUGUUGAGGUUUUGGUAAAAGUUCUUUGGAAUAGGACAUCAUAGAGGGUGAGAAUCCCGUAUUUGACCUUUACUUUCAACUUUGUGAUACACUUUCAAAGAGUCGGAUUGUUUGGGAAUGCAGUCCAAAAUGGGUGGUAAAUUUCAUCUAAAGCUAAAUAUUGGCGAGAGACCGAUAGCGAACAAGUACCGUGAGGGAAAGAUGAAAAGAACUUUGAAAAGAGAGUUAAACAGUACGUGAAAUUGUCAAAAGGGAAGCGUUUGACACCAGUGUUGUUUUUCUGAAAAUCAAUUAAAGAACUGUUUAUGCUAAGUUGUUUAGACUUUAUCAGCUAUCUGUUUAGUUUUGAGCUUUUCUUUAAUGCACUUUUCAGUUAACAAGUCAACAUCAAUUUCUUUUGCUGUAAAAAAGCUUGAGGAAGGUGGCUUGAGAUUCGUCUUAAGUGUUUAUAGCCUCUUGCCUAUGCAGUCGGAGAGAUUGAGGUCUGCAGCGUAGAUCCUUCGGGGCUAAAUGCAUUUGUGCUAAGUUAGUAACAUUUUAUAGACAACUUGUUGACUAUGAUUUGUCUUGUAGCUUACUCGCUUAUGUUAUUUUACCUACGCUUAGGAUGUUGAGUAGCGACAUACGCAC
rnacentral:rRNA from 1 species